UACGGGGGGGGCAAGCGUUUGUUCGGAAUUACUGGGCGUAAAGGGCUCGUAGGCGGCCUGCUAAGUCGAACGUGAAAUCCCGGGCUCAACCGGGAACUGCGUCCGAUACUGGCAGGCUUGAAUCCGGGAGAGGGAUGCGGAAUUCCAGGUGUAGCGGUGAAAUGCGUAGAUAUCUGGAGGAACACCGGUGGCGAAGGCGGCAUCCUGGACCGGCAUUGACGCUGAGGCGCGAAAGCCAGGGGAGCAAACGGG
rnacentral:rRNA from 1 species